CCUCUGCAUACCACAUCAUGGCGUCACAGACGAAGUCACCGAUGGGGGCCUGGCCCAGACGGAUAACGUUCUUGUCGGAAACCAGGGUGUGCGACAGAGUGCCCAGUGCGCAGGAGGCGGUGGAGGUGGGCGCCGCGGAGCAGAUGCCGCUGCUGCCGCCCAGGUCGCAGCGGUUGAUGCGGCCCUCGGCAGCAGCGUAGCCGGUGACCUGCAGGGACAGGAAGGAAGAGACAGGCAUGAGGUGCAGUUCGCACGAGCAGGGACUAAUAACAGGGAGCGCAAUGGGAAAGCGAGGGUCGUGUUGUACCACGUCUUAUCGCAGGAAAAGAACCGAUCGGCGGAUGACAGGGAGAUGAAGGCAAAAAUAGCAGGGCCGCUGGUGAAGCUAUACCACCCUGUAACAAUAUCAUAUAUACAUAAUGAUGUGUGAAACAGGGGGGUGUAUCUUCGCCCGUGACAGCUACCCUGCGAACCCUGCCUUCCCCGGUAUUUCGGGGCACCCUCAUCCAGUUACCCUAGUCAACUUCUCAGUGGAUCGCUCAGGUUCCGCACCAAACACCAGCAUCCAACGGAAUCUGCCGGGUCGACAGCGGGCCCAACUCCAUUCCUGGUUGGCUCGCAGGUUAACUUUAUCCCAGGUCACAACCAUCCAUCAGGGGCGCAAUACCUUCCACUAUCGGACAAAUUUUUGACCCUUACGGGUAUCGAUCCCGGGAUCUCCCGGGGGCAAUGGUUGCGCGUUACCAAUAGUGCCAAACCCUAGCAUAUACAUGAUGUAUACACACCUGCCUCUCCCUGAUCUAUAUAAUAAGCCUCACCACCCGGCCCGCCAUUAGACGCCACCGUUGAUCCGGCAAAGUCCACGGGAUAAUGCUGGUGGUGGGUGCUGAACCCCCAAACAUUCACUGACUUCGCAGAAGUCGCCACACAUGCGUGAUGAUGAGGAGGAUGAGGGUGGUGCCCCGAAACAUCGGGGAAGGUGCUUGGGGGACUGCCGGGCUAAUGGCCACGGGUGAAGUUGUUAUACCCCCCACUACUUCACACAAUCAGUGAUCGUGGUUUUUAGAAACUUACAGGCGAAUUGGACAGGAACUCUACCACGGCAUCCACGACGGCAGGUCCUUCGGCCAAGACCGUCUCGGCGGCCGCAAGGACCGCGUAGCCAUCACCACCUAGUCAGAUGGGCAUGGGGGGACCCGGCGGGGAAGGGCGGAAUGUGAGCUGCAUGAGGGAGGAUGCAUAUAACUGGUUCGAAAUGCGAAGAUGCGGUGCAACAUCACUGGCAGCGCAACGGCCCAGGGGAAAGCAACGAAAGAGAACCUCAUCGCGGGAACCUAUUCAUCCUUUUCAUUGCCAGCAGGGUUUAACACCCAACUGUUAUGUACCGUGCACUGUGGUCAUAUAUGUAUGUGUGUAGAAUCCUGGGCAUAUCAUGGGAUCUGCAUCCGCCGAUCGGUAUUUUCUGAAGCCGUGAUAUAACAAUAUGCACGUUUUUGCCAAGCUUCUCAAUGCGUUUCAUUUCCUAAUGAGAACAACCAUGCCUGUAUGUCUGUAAUGAGGCAUUUCCGUAUAAGCUUCCGCAUCUGUACACUUACCCGCUGCCAUAUAAUCGUUGGUCACCAAUGCAUACUUGGCGCAAGGAUCGAUGGGCGAGUACGAACCGUCAGCGUUCUUGACCUCGAUCGCCGACACGCGCUGGUUGACCGGCUUGGUUGCGUCGUACGCAAAACGGAAGCCGCCCACCUGUCGAAUAAGGUGCCACGGCGCACGCGGUGGCCAACAAGUUUUGCUUAAGACCAGUGAGCUUCAAUACGUACUGCUACGUAAUUUUUAUUCCACGAAGAUUCCUGUCCUUGCUGGAGGACAUCGUUACAGACUUCAGCUUUGGCCUUUAGUGCCGAGUUGGAAGCUACAUCCCCCAUCACACACCAGUCAAAGGCCCAGGGGUGUGGCUGCUACUGCUGACGCUGGUGAUAAUGCUGCCGCUGGCGGUACUGCUGACGCCGUUGGUAUUUUGCUGCUGCUACUGCUGUUCUUACUGGUGCUACAGCUACAGUUACAGUUACAGUUACUCCUACUGCUAGUGAUACUGCUAUUGUCACCGUUACUGUUAGUGUUGCUGCUGUUGCUGCCAACUGGCAACCCCACCUGUGCAAAUUGCCCGAGUGCCUCGCCCCCGGCAAUGUUGCCCGCCACGCUGUUCUCGAGAGCUGACUUGAGGCCCGUGACGGAAAUGCUCUUGACCACAAGGGUAUUGCCGAACGGCAGAGCGGCCGCGAUUUGACCUGCGGCAUAGGCAUUUUGCAGGGCGUUACGGUUUGACACUGUGCUUACAAAGUGCAUAGCGAUAUUGAUACUGCAUAUGUGUUAAGUGUGCUUGUUAUGUUUGUAUGUGUCAAUACGUGUACAUAUAAUAAUGCUUCCACAAAUAAUGACAAUAAUAGUAAUUGUAAUAAAUAAUAAUUAAUAUGACAGUUAUAAAUCUAAAAUACAUGUAAAAUACAACUUGAGGUGCGUUCAAAAAUGUAACAAGUGUGAGCCCGUGCGAGCCCAGCCAAGGGCCCAAGGGUCAGACAGAAGGCAGAUCGAGGUAACAAGAUUACAAACCGCACAUAAGGUAAUUAUUGGUCUGCUAAAGAAGGAAAGGGUGGGUUUAAAGCCAUAGCAGUGUGCAGUACGAGUGCAGUUAGAAGAUCGAGCGAAGAAGAUGGGCAGAGAAAAGAGAUGGAAUAACCAAGAUGUUAGGAACAUGAAACACCAUUCCACAAAUUUGAAGAAUGAACAGACGCCCCCUACGGAACGGGACACGUAGCCUUUUCCUUAGAGACGCUGUCUUUAAUGAAGACUGUGCCUCUUGUUUUGUUCAACAAUUUGUAGGACUAUGAAUUAUCGACCUACAAACGGUAGGGACAUGGUAGCUGGGAUGCAGUGCACAUACAUACAGCCCGCGCAAUGAGUACGGUGUUGUACAUUCAGCAUACCUCCGGUCACCAGUCCAGCAGGGAUGUCCGCGCGAAUCGAACCAGAGUUCACCAUGCACAAAUUCGGCCUCGCGCCUGUAGUCAUCUGUUCAUACACGCCACCGUGAGGAGGGAAGAUGGGGGCAAGGAGUAUGCGGGUGGGCUUCCGUUGGCCAAAACACACGAUUAUUUACGACAACACGUGUUCCCGUACACGUACUGCUGCACGCUGUACAAAACUAGAUUGCAGAACCACAGACACACACAGAGGAUAGCAUCACCCGAGUUGGUCCUGCAGGCCGUCUGGAUGCCCGAUGCGGGUUUUAGUACAUGCGGAUUUCGGAGCUGAUUUCACUUUUCCACAGGGCCCCCGGGGGUCCCGUCCUCCAUUACCACACGUGAACCUUCGCGCACCUCCGCAUACCACAUCAUGGCGUCACAGACGAAGUCACCGAUGGGGGCCUCGCCCAGGCGAACAGUGGCCUUGUCGGAAACCAGGGUGUGCGACAGAGUGCCCAGUGCGCAGGAGGCGGUGGAGGUGGGCGCCGCGGAGCAGAUGCCGCUGCUGCCGCCCAGGUCGCAGCGGUUGAUGCGGCCCUCGGCAGCAGCGUAGCCAGUGACCUGCAGGGACAGGAAGGAAGAGGCGUGAGGGCCAUCGGGCAUGAGGAAGACAUGUGUGAGAAGAGCUAAACAUUAGAGGGGAAGAAAAGAUGGGAGAAGGGAGGAACGUGUGCUACGAACGAAAGCAUGUGUGAUGGAGGUGGUCGGAGGCGGCUUAAGGAUAUGCCAGGAAUAGAGAUGAUAAUCGCGAGAUCAUACGAUCAAAUCUUGCUUGAAACAAGACAAAUCAGGGAUAUCAGCGUUAUAAUCCUAUGCGCUGUCCAGGGAUCAAGUAGUAUGAUCAGCCCGAGAUAAGUUCUCAAUGUUGCCUUCGACAUCUGUCUGCGGAUUGAAACGUUCUCCCUCCAAACACAAGCCAUUGAACCAUUUCAAGGUGGAUUACAUGGCGCCGGCGUGAACUUUGCUACGUUAUGCACCACCCUCGUAGUGCGUGAUCCCCAUCACCAGCAGGGGUGAAAUACAAAUGAGAUUAUUCAGUAGGAACAAUAAUGCAGUUGCACUGACCAAAGCUUGGCGUGGGUUAAGGCCGGGGCUCGGGAAUUGAGGGGUAUUUCUGCCCCUAUAUGCCCCUGGGCAACAUCCACUAGGAUAACGCACUUUAAACAAGCACACAAGCACACAUGCAUACACACUAACUUGCGAGCUGACCAGGAACUAAGUUGAGGCGCCGUUGAUCCGCUAGAUUUGGUUGGAUGCUGGUGGUGAGUUGGGAACCCAACGAAUACACUCUGAAUUUGGAUGGGGUGAAUGGAUUAGGGUGCCCCUCUCGCAGGGGAGAGCAGGGAACUGCCUCGGGAAAGGGGGCCGCUGGUGAAGCUUAACCACCCUGUAACAACAUACACAUCCUGCACGCCUCUUGUCCUUCUCCCUCCAUCCCCUACUCGGCCGCAUGCUCGGGUCACACUGAUUUACCAGGCUGGCGCAAAAUCAAUCAGCAAGUAAGGGUUGUAUUCAUAAUAAAAAAAACUCACGGGUGACGUGUACGACAGGAAUUCCUCCACAGCCUCCACAGCAAAAAGCCCCGUCUCCGCUACCGUCUGCGCCGCCCUGAUGGUUAGGUAGCCAUCGCCGCCUGACCAGAGGGAGUGGGGAGGGCCGGGGAAGGGCGGAGAGGGAUAGGAAAGGUAUGGAAUGUAAGGGUGUAUUGGUAGGCCAACAUCAACCCGCAUGGCAUUACAGACCCUAGCACAAGAUCGUGCUAUGCUAGCACAAGAUAGUGCUAUGCUAGCACAAGAUAGUGCUAUGCUAGCACAAGAUAGGGCUAUGCUAGCACAAGAUAGGGCUAUGCUAGCACACGAUACUGUGCUAGGGGGCUCAACAACUCGGCAUCAGGCCCCAAAGCAGCAGCAGUAGCUGCAGCAGCUGCGAAUCCAGUAUGACCCACAGCAGUUUGAAAGUCAGCGGAGGAGGUCAACAGAAGGACAACUUAGGCAGAUGGUGGUUUCUCGCUUUCAAAGAAAGGUCGUAGUGACAGCAGUGUAACAACCAACACGCUGGGCGACGCUGCCAUCACCUGUGUCAACGGGUAUCCUAAUAUUAGGGCAACCACCGCAUCUAGGCCGUACAGCUGUACGGAGCCCGUUGCAAAAGGCCGUGGGAUUCACAGUGUUACCCUAAUAUGUACGGCAGCUGAUGGGUAGCGACGCUACCAUGGUGUGUGUGUAUAUAACAUCACUAGCAGGCACGUGAUGUGUUCUUUUGUCGCCGUCAUACUGCUUGUGUGCCGCCGAUGAUGUUUAUGUGGCCCCCCAACCCCCAUGCUCUUUGUGCCGUUCAAGCCGUACACUUACCCGCCGCCAUAUAAUCGUUGGUCACCAAGGCAUACUUGGCGCAAGGAUCGAUGGGCGAGUACGAACCGUCCGCGUUCGCAACCUCGAUCGCCGACACGCGCUGGUUGCGCGGCUUGGUGGCGUCGUACGCAAAACGGAAGCCGCCCACCUGUCGAAUGAUGUGAAAGCAUGUAGUUACAUUAAAAAACACAGGAAGCUGAGGAAAGCCUUUGUGCACGACCCGGGUGUUUUUUGAGCCUGCUAUUAAGACUACUGCUACCAUCAGCCGUUUCAUUUAUCAAACAGUCGUGCACGCAUAAACGCCGGUACGGCAGACGGCGUCAGGGCAAGAGCUUUGCCCGAGCUUUUUGAGGGAGAACCCGUAGUCUCGUUGAGCUGAUAAUGUCUGUUCCGUCAUUUUCUUCUUAAACUGUAUUUAACUUAAGCAGUGCCGUACAUAUUUCACCACCGGUUUCUUCACGCGGCCCUAAGGUUGGGCACCGGUACCGAUCAGCGGCCCGCCUGGUGUCGCGGUCUUAAAGGAACACCCCAUCGCAGGACGGAUGCGGUUAAUAGUGCCAACUGCCUACUGCCAACUGCCAACUGCCAACUGCCAAAUCGCAGUACGGAAAUGUACAAGUACCAUAGCCUAGUGUCGCCGUCAUGUACCUCGUACACGGCCACCUCACCUGUGCAAACUGCCCGAGGGCCUCGCCCCCGGCAAUGUUGCCCUCAACGCUGUUCUCGAGAGCCGAUUUGAGGCCCGUGACGGAAAUGCUCUUGACCACAAGGGUAUUGCCGUACGGCAGGGCGGCAGCGAUUUGGCCUGCGGUUAGGUGUUUUUAUGUUAUUUUGCACAACACCGUUUUAUUUUAAGUAAUGCAACACUGACACUGUUUUCUGUGUGUGCUGCUAGUUCGGACCGUGUGUUGCAUGAACUGCAUGGGAAUUGUGUCUGUAUUGCGUGACCUUGUCUCCGAUAUGUAAGUGGAGACGGUGGGUGCAUGGUAGCUGCGAUGCAGUGUACAUAUUUAGAACAUGCCUACUGUGUACGACGUCGUACAUUCAGCAUACCUCCGGUCACCAGUCCAGCAGGGAUGUCCGCGCGAAUUGAACCAGAGUUCACCAUGCACAACUUCGGCCGCACGCCUGUAGUCAUCUGUUCAUAGACGCCACAGUUACAGGAAAAGGAGGGAACAGGGGGGCCAAGAGAUAUGCGGGUGGGUUUCCGUUGGCCAAAACACACACACACGAUCAUUUACGACAACUUACAUAUGUUCCCGUGAACAAAAUGCCGCACACUGUACAAAACUCGAUUGCAGAACCACAGACACACAUAGAGGAUAGCAUCAGCCGAGUUGGUCCUGCAGGCCGUCUGGAUGCCCGAUGCGGGUUUUAGAACAUGCGGAUUCGGAGCUGAUUUCACGUUUUUCACAGGGCCCCAGGGGUCCCGUCCUCCAUUACCACACGUGAACCUUCGCGCACCUCGGCAUACCACAUCAUGGCGUCACAGACGAAGUCACCGAUGGGGGCCUCGCCCAGGCGAACAGUGGCCUUGUCGGAAACCAGGGUGUGCGACAGAGUGCCCAGUGCGCAGGAGGCGGUGGAGGUGGGCGCCGCGGAGCAGAUGCCGCUGCUGCCGCCCAGGUCGCAGCGGUUGAUGCGGCCCUCGGCAGCAGCGUAGCCGGUGACCUGCAGGGACAGGAAGAGGGAGCCGUGAGGGCCAUCGGGCAUGAGAAAGACGCGUGUGUGUGCACUGCGGCUCCAACCGCCCCACAUACAACGUAAUCACUAGUCACGCCAUACGUGCUUUAGACGCUAUAAAUGUUUAGACGCUAUACCUAUCUACCAUACAGGAUAUGCUCGGUACGCGACUUAUCGUACACGCGGCAUAUGCUACAUAUCCUACAU
rnacentral:lncRNA from 1 species